GGGGCUGAAGCAGCAAGCGCUGCUCCCACCAAUAAACGGCUCUGCCAAGCAGGAACUCUGCUUGUUGCCCCAGCAGGAGGGGACUGGCUGCUCUGCUCCGGCCAGCUCGGCUGAGAUGCCAGCGGGGACACAGAGCCCAGCACACAGCAAAGGCUCCAGGCAGAUGACCCCGGCACCACUCAGGCUUCUCCCUGAGCUGCCAAGAAGAGCUUGGCAGGGAAUGAAGCAGGGGUCUGGAUGCUCCUGUACUGCAAAUAACCACCGAGCCAGCUCCUCUGGGCAGGCCCAGGAAGGGUGCGGGCAGCUCCACCAACCCUCUGGAAGGCAGGCAGCCUCCCCAGGAGGAGACCCUCAAGUGUGCCCUUCGGAACCCAGCGAGACUUGAAUCACAGGACACAGAAAACAUCCUCAGUGGCCAAAUGAAAUCACAGCUCCCAUCUGAAAGCAGCGAAUGCCUUGCCCACACUCCCCAAAUCCUGUUCACCUGGGCAGAUGUUUCUUGUUUGCAAAUCCUGAGAAGAUUGCUAAUUAAAGUCUGGCAAGUAAAGCAGUCCCUGUUCCUGUUGGCCUGGGCACACACAAGCACUACUGAAUGCCAGACACUUUCAGGAAGGAUAUUUCUGCCAUCCCCAUGACAACAAGUUGUGAUAUAGGUCCUGCUUUUCAAACACAACUUUGGAUGGA